rnacentral:misc_RNA from 1 species
AUGAACUAUACAUGUAUACCGGAUCUAACCUAUAUAGACACUCCUGAUUUCUUAUUGACAGAUAUGCACAUUAUCACAGGAAUAUCUACACCAAUUCAUUUUCUUGGACUAUACUGUAUCAUUUUUAAGACUCCUAAGCAGAUGAGGAGUGUGAAAUGGUACAUGCUAAUUUUGCAUAUUUAUGUUAUGAUAUUUGACUACUCCUAUACAAUUAUGACAGUCCCUUUUGUUCUAUCACCUUUUGCUGCGGGCUUUCCACUUGGUCUGCUUCGUCUCACAGGAAUGUCAGUUGUUGCACAGUCAAUAUAUUUUAUAAUAAUUUACUUUUAACCUUCCAUGUCUACCUAGAUAUAUAUACGAUGGUCCGGUUUACGUGGUUGCUGAAGACAUCACUUACCAUUUUUCAUUUAUUUUCUCAUUGCAUGUGCUUAUUUGUUUCGAAGUGAUUUUCUUUUUCGGAUAUCUUAUUCGGAGCGGUCGUCAGCAACUGAAAGGAAAAACAAUGUCUCAAAGAACGUUUCAGUUGCAGAAAAAGUUUUUUAUAGCACUCAUUUCUCAAGUUUGUGUGCCAUCAGUUUUCUUUAUUAUUCCACUAAUCUACGUUGUGAUAACAAUUUUAACGAAAUAUUAUAAUCAAGGAUAUCUUAAUAUUGCAUUCACAAUUAUCGCUAUGCAUGGACUUGUUUCGACAUCUGCAAUGCUUUCACUUCAUCAACCCUAUCGGGAAACAAUUCUGAAUACGUUUCAAAAAACACCAAGAACCUUGUCCAAGAUCCAAAACUUAAAUGAUAAGCGGUUGCACAGGUGCUCGGCUCGUGUAGCUCAUAUUUCACCUGGUUGA